GAUGAAGAACGCAGCGAAAUGCGAUAAGUAGUGUGAAUUGCAGAAUUCCGUGAAUCAUCGAGUCUUUGAACGCACAUUGCGCCCCCUGGUAUUCCGGGGGGCAUGCCUGUCCGAGCGUCAUUGCUGCCCUCAAGCACGGCUUGUGUGUUGGGCCCCGUCCUCCGAUCCCGGGGGACGGGCCCGAAAGGCAGCGGCGGCACCGCGUCCGGUCCUCGAGCGUAUGGGGCUUUGUCACCCGCUCUGUAGGCCCGGCCGGCGCUUGCCGAUCAACCCAAAUUUUUUAUCCAGGUUGACCUCGGAUCAGGUAGGGAUACCCGCUGAACUUAAGCAUAUCAAUAAGCGGAGGA
rnacentral:misc_RNA from 1 species